rnacentral:rRNA from 1 species
GAUGAACGCUAGCGGCAGGCCUAACACAUGCAAGUCGAGGGGUAGCAGGAUUAAGCUUGCUUAAUUGCUGACGACCGGCGCACGGGUGCGUAACGCGUAUGCAACCUACCUUAUACUGGGGUAUAGCCCGGAGAAAUUCGGAUUAAUCCCCCAUAGUACUAAUGAAUCGCAUGGUUUAUUAGUUAAAGCAUUGCGGUAUAAGAUGGGCAUGCGUCCUAUUAGCUAGAUGGUGAGGUAACGGCUCACCAUGGCUACGAUAGGUAGGGGGCCUGAGAGGGUGGUCCCCCACACUGGUACUGAGACACGGACCAGACUCCUACGGGAGGCAGCAGUGAGGAAUAUUGGUCAAUGGGCGCAAGCCUGAACCAGCCAUGCCGCGUGCAGGAAGAAUGCCCUAUGGGUUGUAAACUGCUUUUAUUUGGGAAUAAACCUCUUUACGCGUAGAGAGCUGAAGGUACCAAAUGAAUAAGCACCGGCUAACUCCGUGCCAGCCGCCGCAGUAA